rnacentral:pre_miRNA from 1 species
AGUGGAACUGCUGGAUCAUGUGGUAAUUUUAGGCUUCAAAGAAGUUGCCAUAUUAUUUUCCAUAGCAGCUACACCAUUUUACAGCCCCACCACCAGU